rnacentral:rRNA from 1 species
AUUGAACGCUGGCGGCAUGCCUUACACAUGCAAGUCGAACGGCAGCACGGGUGCUUGCACCUGGUGGCGAGUGGCGAACGGGUGAGUAAUACAUCGGAACAUGUCCUGUAGUGGGGGAUAGCCCGGCGACAGCCGGAUUAAUACCGCAUACGAUCUACGGAUGAAAGCGGGGGACCUUCGGGCCUCGCGCUAUAGGGUUGGCCGCUGGCUGAUUAGCUAGUUGGUGGGGUAAAGGCCUACCAAGGCGACGAUCAGUAGCUGGUCUGAGAGGACGACCAGCCACACUGGGACUGAGACACGGCCCAGACUCCUACGGGAGGCAGCAGUGGGGAAUUUUGGACAAUGGGCGAAAGCCUGAUCCAGCAAUGCCGCGUGUGUGAAGAAGGCCUUCGGGUUGUAAAGCACUUUUGUCCGGAAAGAAAUCCUUGGCCCUAAUACGGUCGGGGGAUGACGGUACCGGAAGAAUAAGCACCGGCUAACUACGUG